rnacentral:sRNA from 1 species
AGAAUAUUUCUAUUAACAGCAGCCCUGCUGUCGCCCUACCUUAUCGAAGCACAAUUCCAUCAUUUUGGUGAAGCCAUAAAUACAUCACCAGUGGGUGGUGAUUGUGCUCUUAUACUAGCCGGUCCAGGCAGAUCAUCAGUAUAUGAUUACAGUGUGAAUUUAUUCCGUGGAUCGCUAACUCCAUACAAUGGUGACUCAACUUGUAUAACAUAUGAUGCUGUUAACGCUGCCUAUUUGGAUGCACGCAAGAGAAUACAUGUAUCUCAACCCAAAGGAGAUUGGAAAACUGAAGAUAUAGCCACCGUGGGUGAACUGCUCUUGGACAUUUCCAUACAAUUGGCCAG